AAAUGACUAUGUUUUUAGAGUAAAAGGCGAAAAGCUCCUCCACAGCCUUACAAUAAACCUAUUGGAUCACCUAGAAAAUUACAGGCUCAGUUUGGUGGUCCCCCAGUACAAUCAUUAUCUGUACCAAGACGAGCUGUUAUAUCUAGAUUACAACCAAAAACAGACACAACACAGAUGACAUCCACACCAUUACCCACAGCUGUUACUGG